CAUGAACAUUACCUGAGAUGACCCGUGCAGAGCGUUUACUACCUGCUCACACCCCUGGGAGGCCCCAUGACUUUGCUCUGAGCAUGUGGUGCUACUGUCAUCAAGUCACCCCUGAAGAAUCCCGCACAGCCACGAUGACACCCGAGCCAGGGCCCAGGAGGAUGCAGAGACAGGCACCCAGCAGCUGAGAAGGUGCUGGGCUGGCGACCUUGGAAGUUUCACCCAUCCAGGGAGCUGGGAGCGCAUUAGCACGUUCAUCUGCACCCUGUUCCCAGAGUGGCCACAGCUUUCACACCUGGCUCAGCUGAGGAGGCAGCGGGAGACCUCCCUGCUGAGGGGCCCAGCUGUACUCACCCUCCUCUUGACUUGAUUUCCCUCUUCCUGUUUCCAGGGUCUCUGGUUUUUGAAAUUCUCCGUAUGUCCUUUUUACCCCUCUCCCUUCUCUGCUCCAGAGAGCUCAGGGAAGCACUGGACCCAGAAUUAGUGGGAAUGGGGUCCAUACUCAGUGCCCUGCAGCUGUGAGCAGGUCCCCAGGCUUUCAGCAUUUCACUUUGUUCUUCUUUAAAAUGAGGUUG
rnacentral:lncRNA from 10 species